UACGUAGGGGGCAAGCGUUGUCCGGAUUUAUUGGGCGUAAAGAGCGUGUAGGCGGCCAGACAGGUCCGUUGUGAAAACUCGAGGCUCAACCUCGAGACGCCGAUGGAAACCGUCUGGCUAGAGUCCGGAAGAGGAGAGUGGAAUUCCUGGUGUGAGACGGUGGAAAUGACGCAGAUAUCAGGAAGAACACCCGUGGCUAAGGCGGCUCUCUAGUACGGUACUGACGCUGAGACGCGAAAGCGUGGGGAGCGAACAGG
rnacentral:rRNA from 1 species